GCCUGGCUGGCUCAGUCAGAAGAGCAUUCGACUCUUGAUCUCAUGGUUGUGAGUUCGAGCCCCAUGUUGGGUG
rnacentral:tRNA from 1 species